GACGAACGCUGGCGGCGUGCUUAACACAUGCAAGUCGAACGGAAAGGCCCUGCUUUUGUGGGGUGCUCGAGUGGCGAACGGGUGAGUAACACGUGAGUAACCUGCCCUUGACUUUGGGAUAACUUCAGGAAACUGGGGCUAAUACCGGAUAGGAGCUCCUGCUGCAUGGUGGGGGUUGGAAAGUUUCGGCGGUUGGGGAUGGACUCGCGGCUUAUCAGCUUGUUGGUGGGGUAGUGGCUUACCAAGGCUUUGACGGGUAGCCGGCCUGAGAGGGUGACCGGCAACAUGGGGACGGAGAAACGGCCAAGAUUCUUACGGGAGGAAGAAGGGGGGAAUAUGGCACAAUGGGCGGAAGCCGGAUGAAGAAACGCGGGGUGGGGGAUGAGGGCCUUCGGGUUGUAAACCGCUUUCGCCUGUGACGAAGGGUGAGGGACGGUAAUGGGUAAAGAAGCACCGGCUAACUACGG
rnacentral:rRNA from 1 species